AUGUGGAGGAACAUGGACGCACAGGGCGCGCCAGGGCAUGCACGCAUGUGCGAGGGCUCAGCGAAGUGGACGGACCGAACAUGCACGCACCAGGUCGCAGUGUACGUAGUACCGUCAUCGGCGCGCCCCGGCCGGUUAGUCGAGCAGCAUGCGCCGUUUACAGGCACGCAGCCAAUCCGUGUCAUGCAUGUGGCACUAGCAGUAACACUGUGCAAUAUCUAUGCACGUACAGCAUCAGCGUACAGAGGCUGUGCAGUGUACGCCCGUAGAUACAGAGCACCGAUCACAUGCCCGCCGCUGCAAGCAGUGAAACAGGAACGGGCGGACGUACAGAAGCUAGGGAGCAAGCGCGUCGCGCUCGUCGACGGCAGACAGGCGCACGCACGGUGCCGCGCUCGCGGGGCCGGCCGGGCCGGGCGUCGACCAUGUGAACGAGGCAGGAUAGGAUAA
rnacentral:rRNA from 1 species